rnacentral:sRNA from 2 species
AAUUGAAUACGGCCGAAUUUCUUUUGUGAAAACGGGGGAACCACUGUUUGUUUAUAGGGGUGAAUUCAUCGCCAUCUUAGCAUGGAAUGAUAGGGUACCUGUAAAACCCGAAUCCGUCAGCUAACCCCGUAGGCUUAUCACAGGAACCUA